rnacentral:rRNA from 1 species
AGAAUCAACGCUGGCGGCGUGCCUAACACAUGCAAGUCGAACGAGAAAGUGGAGCAAUCCAUGAGUAAAGUGGCGCACGGGUGAGUAACACGUGACUAACCUACCCUUGAGGUGGGGAAUAACUUCGGGAAACCGAGGCUAAUACCGCAUAACACCUACGGGUCAAAGGAGCAAUUCGCUUAAGGAGGGGUCGCGGCAGAUUAGUUAGUUGGCGGGGUAAUGGCCCACCAAGACAGUGAUCUGUA